UUUCUCCCCUGGCAGGGGAGAUACCAUGAUCACGAAGGUGGUUUUCCCAGGGCGAGGCUUAUCCAUUGCACUCCAGGUGUGCUGGCCGCUCCAAUUUCCCCAAAUGUGGGAAACUCAACUGCAUAAUUUGUGGUAGUGGGGGAUCGUGCUUUCCCCUG
rnacentral:snRNA from 1 species